GUCGAGCGGACAGAAGGGAGCUUGCUCCCGGAUGUUAGCGGCGGACGGGUGAGUAACACGUGGGUAACCUGCCUGUAAGACUGGGAUAACUCCGGGAAACCGGAGCUAAUACCGGAUAGUUCCUUGAACCGCAUGGUUCAAGGAUGAAAGACGGUUUCGGCUGUCACUUACAGAUGGACCCGCGGCGCAUUAGCUAGUUGGUGGGGUAAUGGCUCACCAAGGCGACGAUGCGUAGCCGACCUGAGAGGGUGAUCGGCCACACUGGGACUGAGACACGGCCCAGACUCCUACGGGAGGCAGCAGUAGGGAAUCUUCCGCAAUGGACGAAAGUCUGACGGAGCAACGCCGCGUGAGUGAUGAAGGUUUUCGGAUCGUAAAGCUCUGUUGUUAGGGAAGAACAAGUGCGAGAGUAACUGCUCGCACCUUGACGGUACCUAACCAGAAAGCCACGGCUAACUACGUGCCAGCAGCCGCGGUAAUACGUAGGUGGCAAGCGUUGUCCGGAAUUAUUGGGCGUAAAGGGCUCGCAGGCGGUUUCUUAAGUCUGAUGUGAAAGCCCCCGGCUCAACCGGGGAGGGUCAUUGGAAACUGGGAAACUUGAGUGCAGAAGAGGAGAGUGGAAUUCCACGUGUAGCGGUGAAAUGCGUAGAGAUGUGGAGGAACACCAGUGGCGAAGGCGACUCUCUGGUCUGUAACUGACGCUGAGGAGCGAAAGCGUGGGGAGCGAACAGGAUUAGAUACCCUGGUAGUCCACGCCGUAAACGAUGAGUGCUAAGUGUUAGGGGGUUUCCGCCCCUUAGUGCUGCAGCUAACGCAUUAAGCACUCCGCCUGGGGAGUACGGUCGCAAGACUGAAACUCAAAGGAAUUGACGGGGGCCCGCACAAGCGGUGGAGCAUGUGGUUUAAUUUCGAAGCAACGCGAAGAACCCUUACCAGGUCUUGACAUCCUCUGACAACCCUAGAGAUAGGGCUUUCCCUUCGGGGACAGAGUGACAGGUGG
rnacentral:rRNA from 1 species